rnacentral:rRNA from 1 species
CAAAAACAUGUCCUUUUGUUUUUAAUUUAAGGUCUGACCUGCCCACUGAAAAUUUUAAAUGGCCGCAGUAUUUUAACUGUGCAAAGGUAGCAUAAUCAUUAGUCUUUUAAUUGAAGGCUGGUAUGAAUGGUUGGACGAAAUAUAUACUGUUUCAUAUAAAAUUUUAAAUAGAAUUUUAUUUUUUAGUUAAAAAGCUAAAAUUAUGUUGAAAGACGAGAAGACCCUAUAGAUCUUUAUAAUUAUAUUAUUUAUUAUUAUUUAGAUUUUUUCGUUAAUAAUUAUUAUAAUUUUUUUGUUGGGGUGACAUUAAAAUUUAUUUAACUUUUAAUAUUAUAAAUACAUUUGUUUAUGAUUCAAUGAUCCAUUAUUAGUGAUUAAAAAAUUAAGUUACCUUAGGGAUAACAGCGUAAUCUUUUUAAAGAGUUCUUAUCGAUAAAAAGGAUUGCGACCUCGAUGUUGGAUUAAAAUAAAAAUUGGGUGUAGCAGCUCAGUUGUUUAAGUCUGUUCGACUUUUAAAUUUUUACAUGAUCU